rnacentral:rRNA from 1 species
UACGUAGGGGGCAAGCGUUGUCCGGAAUUAUUGGGCGUAAAGAGCGUGUAGGCGGUCCGGUAAGUCGGCUGUGAAAUCCCGAGGCUCAACCUCGGGUCUGCAGUCGAUACGAGCAAACUAGAGUGUUGCAGGGGAGACUGGAAUUCCUGGUGUAGCGGUGAAAUGCGCAGAUAUCAGGAGGAACACCGGUGGCGAAGGCGGGUCUCUGGGCAACAACUGACGCUGAGGAGCGAAAGCGUGGGGAGCGAACAGG